rnacentral:rRNA from 1 species
UUGCAGUUACCAUCAUUCAGUUGGGGACGUCUAGCGAGACUGCCAGUGAUAAACUGGAGGAAGGUGGGGAGUGACGUCAAAUCAUCAUGCCCCUUAUGACCUGGGCUACAAACGUGAUACAAUGGCUGAAACAAAGGGCAGCGAAGCAGUGAUGUGGAGCGAAACCCAAAAAAGCAGUCUCAGUUCGGAUUGAAGUCUGCAACUCGACUUCAUGAAGUCGGAAUCGCUAGUAAUCGCGGAUCAGAACGCCGCGGUGAAUACGUUCUCGGGGUUU